rnacentral:rRNA from 1 species
AUUGAACGCUGGCGGCAUGCUUUACACAUGCAAGUCGAACGGUAACAGGCCGCAAGGUGCUGACGAGUGGCGAACGGGUGAGUAAUGCAUCGGAACGUGCCCAGUCGUGGGGGAUAACUACUCGAAAGAGAAGCUAAUACCGCAUACGAUAUAUGGAUGAGAGCGGGGGACGGGAAGGCAUCGCGCGGUUGGAGCGGCCGAUGUCGGAUUAGGUAGUUGGUGGGGUAAAGGCUCACCAAGCCAACGAUCUGUAGCCGGUCUGAGAGGACGAGCAGCCACACUGGGACUGAGACACGGCCCAGACUCCUGCGGGAGGCAGCAGUGGGGAAUUUUGGACAAUGGGCGCAAGCCUGAUCCAGCAAUGCCGCGUGCAGGAAGAAGGCCUUCGGGUUGUAAACUGCUUUUGUACGGAACGAAACGGCUCUGGUUAAUACCCGGGGCUAAUGACGGUACCGUAAGAAUAAGCACCGGCUAACUACGUG